rnacentral:ncRNA from 1 species
CUGGAACCGCCGUCGGUGCAGAUCUUGGUGGUAGUAGCAAAUACUCGAGAGGGGGCCCUCGGGGGCUGCCGUGGAGAAGGGUUUCUUGUGAACAGCCGUGUCCAAGAGUCAGUCGAUCCUAAGCCCGGGGAGAGAUCCUCGUACCACGGGCGAAGGCGUUUUCGAAUCGCCCUUGGGGCGAGAGGGAAUCCCGGUUCGUAUUCCGGAACCCGACGCGGAACCGCUCCCCUAGUGUUCGGGGCUCUUUUGUCUCGUCUGGGUAACCAGAAUGAACUCGAAGAAGCCGCCGGGGGGAUCUGGGUAGAGUUCUCUUUUCUCUGUGAGCGUUGUACGUCCCUGGAAUCCUCUAGCCGGGCGAUAGGGACGCGAGCGCGAAGAGCACCGCUCGUUGCGGCGGUGUCCGUGAUCCCCACGCGGACCUUGAAAAUUCGAGAGAGGGCCACGCGGAGUCUUCGCGUCGGUUCGUACCGAUAUCCGCAGCAGGUCUCCGAGGUGAGCAGCCUCUAGCCGCAUAGAAUAAUGUAGGUAAGGGAAGUCGGCAAAACCGAUCCGUAACUUCGGGAUAAGGAUUGGCUCUGAGGAGCGUGGCUGCCGGGUUCGGGUCGUCGUAGAAGCGUAGGCGUUUUUGGCGACACCCCGGCCGUCGCCCGUGCGCCCGGUCUUCGGAACGGGAGCCUCGAGGCGGCCGCGGGCCCGUCGCCGUCCGCCGACCGUGGAACCACCGAGCUUCGGUCGCUGGCCGCGUCGCGGCCGGCCGACCGCCUUGGUGUCGGUUCGCCGUCACCGGGCGGUCCGGCCGCCGCGCCGUCGGUCGCGUAGCCGGAUCGACAGCCAUGUAACGGUCAACUCAGAACUGGCACGGACCAGGGGAAUCCGACUGUCUAAUUAAAACAAAGCAUCGCGAUGGCCCGGGACGGGUGUUGACGCGAUGUGAUUUCUGCCCAGUGCUC